AUGGAACGAGUAAAGAGACUUGCCGGUAACGAGAUUGAACUAGGUAUGAAGAUACCGACGGUCGAAUCUCGGGCAACUAACAUACCGAUGGACAAAGGGAAUUAUGUAUGUUGUCAUAACGGUUCGACCGAUAAAGAUCUUCGUAGAGUAUGUAGGAGCCAAUAUGGGCAUCCAGGUUCCGCUAUUGGUUAUUUAUCGGAAAGGUGUCUAGGUCAUGUCUACAUAGUUCUCGAUCCCGUAGGGUCCGCACGCUUAACGUUCGAUGACGAUAUAAUAUUAUAUGAGUUAUGUGAUUUGGUAACCGAAUGUUGUCCGGAGUACCAUAUGAGAUCACGGACAUGA
rnacentral:rRNA from 1 species